rnacentral:rRNA from 1 species
GCGAUGUCUGCGCUGAAGACGGUGUGAAUACAGUGUGGACAGGUCUGAUUGUGAAUUACGGGUCGUAAUGUGCGCGUGGGCUGACUGUGAAGUGGUUGUUGAAAUCCCUGGGCUCAACCUAUGAAUUGCAUCCGAUACUGGCAAUCUAGAGUUUAAGAGAGGGAAGGGGAAUUCCAGGUGUAGCAGUGAAAUGCGUAGAUAUCUGGAGGAACAUCAGUGGCGAAGGCGCCUUCCUGGCUUAAAACUGACGCUGAGGUGCGAAAGCGUGGGUAGCGAACGGGAUUAGAUACCCGUGUAGUC